AAGUCGUAACAAGGUUUCCGUAGGUGAACCUGCGGAAGGAUCAUUAUUGAGUAACUUUGGGGGAGUGGGGAUUCUUUUUCCCUCCCCCUAUCCACUCUCAUCUCUCCUGUUAUUUUCUUGUCCCAGUUGCUUUGGCAAAUUAAGUUAUUAUUUUUUUUCUUAAAAGUAAUUUAAAUUGUCAAGGGCUAUAUACAUAGACACUUUUGUUUUUUAACAAUUGGAUUUUAUCUAAGUCAGAUUUAUUUAUUUUUUUAAUAAAAAAUAAAACUUUCAACAACGGAUCUCUUGGUUCUG
rnacentral:misc_RNA from 1 species